CAUAGAACUGGCCAAGCAGGUUUUGCAGGUCCAGAAAAAGCAAAAAUAAAUAAGUAAGUAAGUAAGUAAGUAAGUAAAUAAGUAAGUAAAUAAAUAAAAGCCAAGAAGUGUAAAUCUUUAGUCCAAGGGGCCAAAGGCACGCCCAGGACAUCCACAGGCUUUCACAAAGACUGGAGUGGAAUUAUGGAGGCAGCAGAGUUUUCCAGAGCCUGGGAGCUGUUUCACAAGCAACUGUCAUUGAAGAAUUCUGAUGCAUUUCAAGAAGCCCAUUUUAAGCUCAUCCGACCAGCACUUCAGAUUUAAAGAGCCCCACCUCGCUUGCUGGGGAACCCUUCCCGGGAGAAGACCAGCAGAGAAUCUGAACGUCUGCAGAGCCCUGAUCCGGACCCACUGCCACCUCCUUGCUGCUCUGAGAGGCUCUUGUCCUUGAAACCCUACCUGUCUACACUGGGCACAUGAUAAACCUGGAGUAUUUUCCUGGAGCAUUAAUUUUACUUAAUGAUGAAUAAUCAAGAACAUUUUUAUGCUUAAAUAAUAGGUUGUGGACUAUAAUGCAAAAUUUGCAUGAAUUUUAAGGAGAAACAAAAGCCUUCAAAGAAAUCUGCAUUGUUGGUGAGUUAUGUCAGGGACUCAGCUUCACUGUCCUCUGGGCUGCAGGAAUGCUCUGGUGGAAAAGCUUUGAACGUGGUAAACAGGGGACUGUGUUUUACAGGAUGCAGAAACCUGUACGGAUGUAAUCUUUGGAUCAGGCUCUCAAGGAGUGAGCCGUGUGCUGUUUGUCUUUCUCUCCCUAAAAAAUACAGAAGAUAACAAGGAAAAUAAGGGGGAAAUCACGCAAGAUCUCAUCCUCUCUGAAGACAACCACAGAAUAAAAAUGCAGCCUCCACCAUGUUGGAUCAUGUAGCUCUGCAUAAGCUCUUCCAAGGGUCUCCAUUCCGCUCAGGCCCUAACAGUAGCCCACGAAGCUACAGGACCUGGCCUCUCACCCCUGGCUCACCUCCGACGCAUGUAUACAACAGAGAUGCCUGGAUUUCCUUGUACGUGACAGGUUCACAUGAGACAUCUUAUAGAAGCUGCUUUCUUCACCCAAUGCUGCACACAUUUCUAUGUCAAGGACACAGUGGGGAGCAAAGCCUUGACAUAAUAGACUUCAGUGCCAGGGCGAAUGCGGAGGAAAACCUGCCGCCCCGUGCACGCAGGCUUCUCCUUGGGAAAGGCGCUCUGCUAAUUGUGAACAUCAGCCAAAGCCCUGAAAGUGAUUCUAGCUGGAAAUGAGCAGGUCUCUGAAGCGGAAGAAGAGAUGGACUCUGGAGAAGAGGGUGUCUGCAGCCGUAGGGGUGAAGGUGACCACCCCGGGGAGAGGGGCAGUGCCGAGCCAAACUUCAGAUGCCUCUGGGGGAUGCCGGGCACCCCAUUGGCCUGGCAUCCACAAAUGUUUCAGCCAGAUGUGCAGCCCUUGGAAUGAGCAGUCAGCAACUGCUUUGAAGAUGAAAAGCCCUGGGAGCCCACAGAGUGCCUCUGUUACUGGCGGGAGCACGCCUUCUCCGCAUCAGCACUGCUCACGGCUCUGCUCCAGCUGGUGAAAGGCAAACCCAGCCGGAAAUGCCAAGUGCAAGGAAGGGGAGCAAGUGAAAUGCUGGGGGUGGGAGAAGGGAAGGGGUGGGUGCCUGUGCUUUGAAAUUCUGUCCCGGAAAGGCCUCUUCAGUGGAUCCCCUUCCAACCUGCCCCAGUACAACAACUGGACGUGGCAUGUGACAGGCGCUGCCGACAGGUCACAUUUCACACACGCAGCUGUAGUAUCUGGCACGCAGGUGUUUGGUUCUGUGUUUGCCAGCUGCUCUGCAGCGCCCUGCUUUUCUGGCUGGGACGGGGGAGGGGGAACCUCACACUUGUUGCUGCCAAAAGUGAGGAGGGGUUAAAAAUUCCUGCCAGUGGGCCAGGUGCUCAGCGUUGGAGUCAGUGCUUGAGUGUCCCCGUGGCUGCCUCAAGGGUCCCGGGGACAGGGGAUGGGUCUGCAUGGGAGUGGGAGCAAGGUGACCGGGAAGCCUCCAGCAAGCUGGCCAGGCCCCAGGAAGAUCCGUCGGGAGCGAGUGAGCAAGAGGAGAGUAGGCCCCUGGGCUCUCGAGUUGGGAAGAUAAGAGUUCAGAUCCCAGCUCCACCUCUGAGUAAUUGUGAACUCUUGGCCAAGUUUCUUAACCUGUCUGGGCCUCAGUGUCCUAGUCUAUAAAAUGGAUUGUGGAAUGCCUGGUGCAUGGACCGCUGGAAGGAUUCCAUGAGACAGGAUGUAAAGCACGCAGGGAAGCAGUGCUGCUUUUGCUGCCCCCACCUGGAAAGCGGGUCAGGCAGGCACCUCCCAGGCUCCUGGGCCGGCACCCUGGACCAUUGCGCACGUCAAGCAAGCCUGGCGCAGCGGUUCUGUGUCUCAGGGUGGAUGGGCGGGCCCGGGCGGGCCCAGUGUCCAGACACAGAUAAUUGGUUUCCUGCUCUUUCUUCUUCCUCAGAGAGGAAGACGACUGUGUACUCAGAAAACUAAAUCACUGAGAAAGCACAAAGCAGGGCGUUUGGGCUUGAGCCUCCCACCUCCAGCCCCCCGCCUCCCCAACCCAGAACUCACCAGAGAUUGUUCAUGGCUGUGGCUGUUACUUGGAAGUGUCUCUCCCUCCUCCUCUGGACUCUCUGGAGGCCGUGGGCCACGUCCACUUUGCCCGCCACUCCUUUCUAUUCUCUGCAGGCAAGAAGGUUGGAAAAACGUUUGCUGAGGGAGCAAAGGCCUGAGUGUGUAGAUGAGUAGAAGGAGGUCCUCACUGCUUCUGCCUCUCUCAUCCCCAUUUAAAAAAAAGUUUUUGGAGCAAAUUUAUGGUUACUGGGGUAGAGGGGAGAGGGGAGAGAGAGAUAAAUUGAGAGCUUGGGAUUGGCUUAUUAAACUACUAUGUACCAAACAGAUAAACAACAAAGUCCUAGUCUAUAUCACAGGAGAUUAUAUUCUAUGGCUUGUAGUAACAAGUAAUGAAAAAGAAUAUGAAAAAGAAUAUAUAUAUAUAUAUAUAAAAAACUGAAUCACUAUGCUGUAACCAGAAACUAAUACAAUA